rnacentral:lncRNA from 1 species
GCCCUAUUGAUUAUAGUAUCUGAGAUAUGGACUUGACCACCAAAACUUAACCUUGUUCACUGAUCCAUGAAAUGAGGUCGAGGUCAAGUGAAAACUGUCUGACAGACAUGAGGACCUUGCAAGGUACGCACAUAUCAAAUAUAGUUAUCCUAUUACUUAUAAUAAGAGAGAAUUCAACAUUACAAAACAUUUUGAACUUUUUUUUCAAGUGGUCACUGACACCAUGAAAAUGAGGUCAAGGACAUUGGACAUGUGACUGACGGAAACUUCGUAACAUGAAGCAUCUAUAUACAAAAUAUGAAGCAUCCAGGUCUUCCAC